CGAGCGAGCUUGCCUAGAUGAUUUUAGUGCUUGCCUAAAUGAAACUAUAUACAGCGAGCGGCGGACGGGUGAGUAACACGUGGGUAACCUGCCCAAGAGACUGGGAUAACACCUGGAAACAGAUGCUAAUACCGGAUAACAACACUAGACGCAUGUCUAGAGUUUGAAAGUUGGUUCAGCUAUCACUCUUAGAUGGACCUGCGGUGCAUUAGCUAGUUGGUAAGGUAACGGCUUACCAAGGCAAUGAUGCAUAGCCGAGUUGAGAGACUGAUCGGCCACAUUGGGACUGAGACACGGCCCAAACUCCUACGGGAGGCAGCAGUAGGGAAUCUUCCACAAUGGACGAAAGUCUGAUGGAGCAACGCCGCGUGAGUGAAGAAGGGUUUCGGCUCGUAAAGCUCUGUUGGUAGUGAAGAAAGAUAGAGGUAGUAACUGGCCUUUAUUUGACGGUAAUUACUUAGAAAGUCACGGCUAACUACGUGCCAGCAGCCGCGGUAAUACGUAGGUGGCAAGCGUUGUCCGGAUUUAUUGGGCGUAAAGCGAGUGCAGGCGGUUCAAUAAGUCUGAUGUGAAAGCCUUCGGCUCAGCCGGAGAAUUGCGUCAGAAACUGUUGAACUUGAGUGCAGAAGAGGAGAGUGGAACUCCAUGUGUAGCGGUGGAAUGCGUAGAUAUAUGGAAGAACACCAGUGGCGAAGGCGGCUCUCUGGUCUGCAACUGACGCUGAGGCUCGAAAGCAUGGGUAGCGAACAGGAUUAGAUACCCUGGUAGUCCAUGCCG
rnacentral:rRNA from 1 species